UGCGUAGGUGGCGCCGUAAGUCGGGUGUGAAAUUUCGGAGCUUAACUCCGAAACUGCAUUCGAUACUGCGGUGCUUGAGGACUGGAGAGGAGACUGGAAUUCAUGGUGUAGCAGUGAAACGCGUAGAGAUCAUGAGGAAGACCAGUGGCGAAGGCGGGUCUCUGGACAGUUCCUGACACUGAGGCACAAGGCCAGGGAGCAAACG
rnacentral:rRNA from 1 species